CGGCCAGCCCAAAGCGCUUAUAAUUCGAGAAAAGUUAUAGCAAACCGUCACAGCCUAAUUUUGAACUGAGUGACGUAUGUAAUCUUCCUUUGACUGAGUACCUCCGACCGCCAUCUGUGAUGCUGUCCCACUGGAUUGAGCCGCCAUUCACCCAUGCGCAUAUUCAACUACCUACCUCUGCACUCUAUGGCGCUUCAACAUUCGUCGGGAAAAUCGGAAACUGUGUUUUCAACGACACUUAUGCAAAUUGGCGUUUACACAAGGGCUCCAUUUUCUCGCUGAAGAAUUGUAAUUUAAUAAGUAUAAUCGGAUGAGAAUAAACGACGACGUUUUCUUUUCCUCCGAAGGUCAGCUAAAUAAAUUACAUUUCGA